AGGACGAACGCUGGCGGCGUGCUUAACACAUGCAAGUCGAGCGGAAAGGCCCUUCGGGGUACUCGAGCGGCGAACGGGUGAGUAACACGUGAGCAACCUGCCCUUAGCUUCGGGAUAGCUCCGGGAAACCGGAAUUAAAUACCGAAUAUGAUUUUUGCUGACAUCAGCAGAAGUGGUAAAGUUUUUCGGCUAGGGAUGGACUCGCGGCCUAUCAGCUAGUUGGUGAGGUAACGGCCCACAAGGCGACGACGGGUA
rnacentral:rRNA from 1 species